rnacentral:rRNA from 1 species
GACGAACGCUGGCGGCGUGCUUAACACAUGCAAGUCGAACGGAAAGGCCAGAUUUUGCUGUGGUACUCGAGUGGCGAACGGGUGAGUAACACGUGGGUGACCUGCCCUGUACUUCGGGAUAAGCUUGGGAAGCUGGGGCUACUACCGGUUAUGAACCACAGGUCGGUGGGGGGGUGGCUAGCUUUUGCGGUAUGGGUUGAGGUCGCGGGGUUUAGGCAUGUUGGUGGGGUAUUGGUGUACCAAGGCGUCGAUGGGUAGCCGGCGUGGGAGGGUGGACGGCCACAUUGGGACUGAGAUACGGCCCAGACGCCGACGGGAGGCAGCAGUGGGGAAUAUUGCACAAUGGGAGCAAGCCUGAGGCAGCGACGCCGGGUGGGGGAUGACGGCCUUCGGGUUGUAAACACCUUUCGUCAGGGACGAAGCGAUAGUGACGGUACCUGGAUAAGAAGCACCGGCUAACUACGUG